GGGUGAAACUCGCUUAGAAACAACGUGAACCGCUAAAAUGUGCUGACAAGGCUGCCAUCUAGCGGAACGUAUCGUAAACAGCAGAAAUGACGCGCAUGCGCGUGAAAUGUAAUGUCAUGUCAGUGUCAAGACUGAGGAAAAAAGUAAACAACAAACACCAUUUCUUUUGUGUUUAUGUGUUUAAAAUCCAUAUCCUGAUACCAAUAUUUCACUCUUUCUUUUCAUUGCCUGCUACGCAUGUUGUGUACGCUCUGAUAGUUUUAAUUUUGCCGAGUUAUUCUCCGAAUUAUAUUCCCACAAUGUCGAGAUUUUGUUGUGUUCCCAAAUGCAUGAUGAAGAUUUGAGGGUUCUGGCUCCAACAAAGCGUUAUGGGAGUGAAAAAGGGAAAGAUAUUUUGAAAGCAACAGAAAGAACAGUUUCUCAAUCUAUUUAAGAAGAAUGUCAACCUUCAAGACAGGAAGAUUCUGAAGAAAUACAGUGGAAAUAUAUUCCAGAAGAAUCUCAACCUUGCUCAGUUCCGGCAACUCACAUAUCUAAGAAGAAAGGAGGGCCGAUUGAGGAGCAGAAACAUAGCUUUGAGGGAGAAAGUAAUGUUGUUGAAGAAAACAUUGGGUUGCCUCAACAAUGUGAACAGAACAACAUUCAAUUUUUUUAUGUCUCAACAAAUGAACCAAAAACAAAAGAAGAGGGGUCGUCGAUACUCUCUUGAUGACAAAAAAAGGAGAUAGGUAUUAUCCUUUCAUGAUUCUAUUUAUCUCCUCAUAUUUAUUUCAAAUUUUAUCUAUAUUAUCAAUAUUGUAUUUAUUUAUUCUAUUGAAUUUAUAAAUCAGCUAAAUGAAUAGAUCCUGUACAUACAAUUUUCUACGUUUCAUAAAUUUAGAAAAUCCAAACAAUCUCAAGUACUGAAGGUAAAUUGUUGAAUUCCUUCAAAUUAAUUAAUUUCUGAAAAGAUUGCUACUCAUUUUUUAUAUUGAUUUAUAAUUUUGUUUUCCCAUAGGGAAAACCAAAUAGAGCCUUUAUAGAUUGUUAUAUGUAAUUGGAGUCCCAUAGAGAAAACAGUAUAGAGCCUUUACAAUUUUGUUGUGAAACACAUGAAUUUACCUUAAGUUUGUUAUAUGUAUUCCCCAAUAUUACACACAUGUAUUUCUGAGUAUUAUUAUGCAAAGUUAUUGUCAUGUUCCAAGUAGAAAUGAAUAUUGUAUUGAAUAAAUUUUUUUUCAUAACA